rnacentral:rRNA from 1 species
AUUGAACGCUGGCGGCAGGCCUAACACAUGCAAGUCGAGCGAGCGGCGGACGGGUGAGUAAUGUUUGGGAAACUGCCUGAUGGAGGGGGAUAACUACUGGAAACGGUUGCUAAUAACGCAUACCAUCAGAUGUGCCCAGAUGGGAUUAGCUAGUGGGUGGGGUAACGGCUCACCUAGGCGACGAUCCCUAGCGGGUCUGAGAGGAUGACCAGCCACACUGGAACUGAGACACGGCCCAGACUCCUACGGGAGGCAGCAGUGGGGAAUAUUGCGCAAUGGGGGCAACCCUGACACAGCCAUGCCGCGUGAAUGAAGAAGGCCUUCGGGUUGUAAAGUUCUUUCGGUAUUGAGGCGUUAAAUACAGAAGAAGCACCGGCUAACUCCGUGCCAGCAGCCGCGGUAAUAC